GUGGUUAAGUGUGCAAGCUCGGAAGUGACGCAGCUGGGUUCCAAUCCUAAAUUCUGCCUCUUGCCAGCUCUGCAUAAACUGGUGGCAAACUACUUCACUUCUGCAAGCCUCCUGCGCCAUGCCUACAGAUACAGGGUCCUGGAAGAGUGCAAGGCAUCUGCUCAGGAAAGGUCUAUGGUGAUGACCAGACGUCAGAGCACAGAAGCUGAAGACAGUCCCACCCUGUUGGUCAUGCUGAAUUCUACAAAGAAUCUCUCCCAUUGGGCCUCCCACAAAUCCACCAAAGGGAACUGCCUGAAACCUCACUAAUGAACCCACAUCCCUAGCAUUUUCUUCUGCAUAAAUAGAGGACCUGCUUCUUGACAUUGGUCACUCACUGAGCACGACGGUGUAAUAUAUUUAAUUCUUAACCAAACUGAUGCUAGUGUAAUAAAAAUGGUGACAACAA